rnacentral:rRNA from 1 species
GAUGAACGCUGGCGGCGUGCCUAAUACAUGCAAGUCGAGCGAACGGACGAGAAGCUUGCUUUUCUGAUGUUAGCGGCGGACGGGUGGGUAACACGUGGAUAACCUACCUAUAAGACUGGGAUAACUUCGGGAAACCGGAGCUAAUACCGGAUAAUAUUUUGAACCGCAUGGUUCAAAAGUGAAAGACGGUCUUGCUGUCACUUAUAGAUGGAUCCGCGCUGCAUUAGCUAGUUGGUAAGGUAACGGCUUACCAAGGCAACGAUGCAUAGCCGACCUGAGAGGGUGAUCGGCCACACUGGAACUGAGACACGGUCCAGACUCCUACGGGAGGCAGCAGUAGGGAAUCUUCCGCAAUGGGCGAAAGCCUGACGGAGCAACGCCGCGUGAGUGAUGAAGGUCUUCGGAUCGUAAAACUCUGUUAUUAGGGAAGAACAUAUGUGUAAGUAACUGUGCACAUCUUGACGGUACCUAAUCAGAAAGCCACGGCUAACUACGAG